AUGGAAGAUUUCUCACCGAGGACUCUGCUCGAUAGUAUCUCGCACCUUACUGCCUUGACUUCUGAUGGCUCUACUGCAAGGCCCAAGCCUAUUCAGAAGUACUGCCAAAAUGUAUGCGAUAUAUCAAGCAUCGUGAGCCCUCUCAUAGAAGAUAUAUGCAAGUCUCCUGUAGAGCAACUCAAUGAUGUGUUAAGGGAGCUUGACACUGCUAUAAAUGAAGCUUCAGGGCUUAUUGGGAACUGGCACCAAACGACCAGCAAAAUAUACUUUGUUUGGCAAAUUGAAUCAGUGAUCUCGGAUAUUCAGGGAUGCUCCCUUCAAUUGUGCCAGCUUGCUAAUUCUUUAUUACCUUCUCUGACUGGAUGUGCUUGCAUUUGUAUUCAGAAACUCCAGGACAUCAAUUAUGAGCACAUGUUUGAUUUGGCGAAGGAGGUUGCAACGAAGUUAAAUGGGAAUGAUACACAAAGUCCCGAGAAUCUGUCGAUAGUAUCAAGUUCAUUAAGUCUGUCAACUAACCUUGAAUUAUACAUGGAAGCUGUAUCCCUCGAGAAUCUGAGAACAAGGGCAAUGCGAAGUGAGAACCGUAAAGAACUCGAGCUUGCUGAGGAGAUGAUUCCAAUGGUCAACUAUAUGCACGAGCGCCUUCUCAGGGAAACACAGUUGCUUAACAUCAACGGGGUACCCAUUCCUGCUGAUUUCUGUUGCCCACUUUCCCUGGAGCUGAUGUCUGAUCCUGUUAUUUUAGCAUCUGGUCAGACCUAUGAGCGGGUUUAUAUCAAGUUGUGGCUCGAUGAAGGUUUUACUAUCUGCCCGAAGACACGCCAAAGACUUGCUCAUUCUAAUUUAAUUCCUAACUAUACUGUGAAAGCUUUGAUAUCCAACUGGUGUGAGUCACAUGAUAUUAAGCUACCUGAUCCUGUGAAAUCCUUGAAGUUGAACUUUCCGUCAGCAGCCUCCUCCCUUCAAGAUUUGAGCGCCACAGGCAACAGCCCUCUACAUCCUAGUGCUGGUAGGGGUAAUAUUCCUGGGUCACCAGAAGCUGACCUGUAUAUGAAAAGCCUGAAUAGAGCAUCUCCUUCCCACAGUGCGGUCCACCAGAACUCUGAUGCACUUGUGAAUCGUCCUGGCCAUGAGGCAUCCACCAAUCAGUCUUCAGAUUAUGCAAAUGGCUCUGCACCAGAUAUUUCAAGGCUAUCUCUUGCGAGUUCUGAAGCAAGAGAAUCUAGUGUGGAAGAAAGACAUGCUGGUUCCAAUGUACAAACCUCAGAACAAUCGACAGAUGAAGCAUUUCAAGCAUCUCUUUUGGACGGUGAUUCACAGGACCAUGUAGGCAGUUCUUCUGUUAAUGGGAGUCUUCCUAAUAGCGGUCAGCUUGAUGGGGAAUGUGACGACGCCAAUGGGAUGGUACGGAUUCCAGGUGAUAGGACAAAUUACAGUAGCGAUGCAUCUGGAGAAGUUGCUGACGGUGGGCCUUCUGUCUCUUCCGCCCCUCAAAGGGAAAAUGUAAUGCUCCCAAGAUUGGGUGAUCUCCGCAUGAGAGGGCAAUUUGUUCGGCGGCAACCAUCUGACAGGGGAUUCCCCAGAAUAACAUCUCCCUCGUCCAUGGAUGCCCGAGGUGAUCUUUCUGCCAUCGAGAAUCAGGUACGCAAGCUAAUUGAUGAUUUGAGAAGCGAUUCCAUAGAAGCUCAAAGAUCAGCAACAUCAGAGAUCCGCCUUCUAGCUAAGCACAACAUGGAGAACAGGAUUGUCAUUGCAAAUUGUGGGGCUAUAAACUUGCUGGUUGGUCUCCUUCAUUCAACAGACGCCAAAAUCCAAGAAAAUGCAGUGACGGCCCUCCUCAAUUUGUCAAUCAAUGACAACAAUAAGAUUGCCAUUGCGAGUGAAGAUGCUGUUGAUCCUCUCAUCCAUGUCCUGGAAACAGGGAACCCUGAAGCUAAAGAGAAUUCAGCGGCUACUCUGUUCAGUCUCUCGGUUAUCGAAGAGAACAAGGUGAGGAUUGGACGGUCUGGUGCCGUCAAACCUCUUGUGGACUUGCUGGGAAACGGGACGCCGCGAGGGAAGAAAGAUGCAGCCACCGCAUUGUUCAAUCUAUCUAUACUCCAUGAGAACAAGGGUCGCAUUGUGCAAGCUGAUGCUGUGAAGUACCUAGUCGAGCUUAUGGAUCCUGCUGCUGGUAUGGUCGACAAAGCCGUAGCCGUCUUGGCAAACCUUGCCACAAUACCAGAAGGGAGGACCGCAAUCGGGCAGGCCCGUGGUAUCCCAGCCCUCGUCGAAGUCGUUGAGCUGGGUUCGGCACGGGGGAAAGAAAAUGCUGCCGCGGCGUUGCUUCAGCUAUGCACAAACAGCAAUAGGUUCUGCAGCAUAGUUCUCCAAGAGGGCGCCGUGCCUCCUCUAGUCGCGCUGUCACAGUCGGGAACACCUCGGGCAAGAGAAAAGGCGCAAGCUCUUCUCAGCUAUUUCCGCAGCCAAAGACAUGGCAACUCGGCGAGGAGAUGA
rnacentral:rRNA from 1 species